UGUCAGUUUCAGGGCGGGGUGAGAUUCCCCACUGGCGGUGACGGGACCUAUGUCCCCCAGUCCGCAAGCUGCAUUGCAGCAGACCUGGUGUAAAUCCGGGACCAACGGUACAGUCCGGAUGGAAGAAACGGAGC
rfam:Coriobacteriaceae bacterium BV3Ac1 contig00005, whole genome shotgun sequence.